UUGACGGGGAGCACCACAACAGGUGGAGCCUGCGGUUUAAUCGGACUCAACGCCGGGAAACUCACCAGAUAAGACAGCUGAAUGAUAGUCGGGCUGAAGACUCUACUUGACUAGCUGAGAGGUGGUGCAUGGCCGUCGUCAGUUCGUACUGUGAAGCAUCCUGUUAAGUCAGGCAACGAGCGAGACCCACGCCCACAGUUGCCGGCGUACUCUCUGGAGUGACGGGUACACUGUGGGACCGCCGCUGCUAAAGCGGAGGAAGGAAUGGGCAACGGUAGGUCAGUAUGCCCCGAAUAUCCCGGGCUACACGCGAGCUACAAUGGUUGGUACAAUGGGUAUCUACCCCGAAAGGGGACGGGAAUCUCCUAAAACCAAUCUUAGUUCGGAUUGAGGGCUGCAACUCGCCCUCAUGAAGCUGGAAUCCGUAGUAAUCGCGUUUCAACAGAACGCGGUGAAUACGUCCCUGCUCCUU
rnacentral:rRNA from 1 species